AACAAAUCAAUGAGGGCAAAAGAAAAUUGUCCUUGUUGAUAAAAACAAAGAGGGCGAAAUUGGUCUUUGUCUUCUUUGGUAGUUAAUGAAAAGGACGACUUUCAAACUUUCGCCCUCUUUGAUCAAUUUAAUUAAAAAAAUAAAUAAAUUAGCCAUUCCUUUUUUAAAACAAAAAGGGCGAAAUUGGGGGUUGCCUUCCUUGAUAAUUAACAAAAAGGGCGACUUGUAAAUUUUCGCCCUCUUUGAUCAAUUUUAUUAAAAAUAAAAAUAAAAAUUACCCCCUUCAACUUCAGACUGUGACGCCUCUCCCUAAGCUUCGUACAACGCUUCUUCGACAUUGUUUCCCAAAAUGAAAAACCCUCUCCAUCUUCAAUUUAGCUUUCUCUCUCCCUAAAUCUCAAUUUAGCCUUCUCUUUCUCUCCCCUAAAUCUCUCAUUUAUCUUUCUCUCUCCCUCCCCAUCUUCAAUUUCGCAGUUCAUAAACCCUAAUUUUAUGCUUUUUGGUCGAGUUUGUCUGAAAUUUGCUUGAGUUCGUCUGAAAUUUGCUUGAGUUCGCCUGCAAUUUAAUCAAAUCGCACAUAUUUUCUCAUCUCUGAAGUUCGUCUGGUCCGCGUUUUCUGCUGCAAUAUAAAAUAUGGAAUCCAAGGCAUAUCUUAUCUGGAGAAGAAAGAAAUACUUGCCCUCCUAAUCCAGGUCAGUAUUGGGUGGGAAGUUGUUUUGUAUUGCUUUUGUUUUAGUGGAAGGGAUGUCAUUACUCAAUGUUUU